GACGAACGCUGGCGGCGUGCUUAACACAUGCAAGUCGAACGGAAAGGCCCUGCUUUUGUGGGUUUCUCGAUUGGCGAACGGGUGAGUAACACGUGAGUAUCCUGCCCUUGACUUUGGGAUAACUUCAGGGAACUGGGGCUCAUACCGGAUAGGAGCUCCUGCUGCAUGGGGGGGGUUGGAAAGUGUCGGCGGUGGGGGAUGGACUGGCUGGUUAUCGGCUUGUUGGGGGGGUAGUGGAGUCCCAGGGCUUCGAAGGGUAGCCGGCCUGGGAGGGUGACCGGCCACAUUGGGACUGCGAUACGGCCCAGACUCCAACGGGCGGCAGCGGGGGGAAAUAUUGCACAACGGGCGGAAGCCUGUUGCAGCAACGCCGCGUGCGGGAAGACGUCCUUCGGGUUGUAAACCGCUUUCGCCUGUGACGAAGCGUGAGUGACGGUACUGGGUAAAGAAGCACCGGCUAACUACGUG
rnacentral:rRNA from 1 species